rnacentral:rRNA from 1 species
ACGAAGGGUGCAAGCGUUAAUCGGAAUUACUGGGCGUAAAGCGCGCGUAGGCGGUUUGAUCAGUUGAAUGUGAAAGCCCCGGGCUCAACCUGGGAACUGCAUCCAAUACUGUCAGGCUAGAGUACGGGAGAGGGGGGUAGAAUUCCACGUGUAGCGGUGAAAUGCGUAGAGAUGUGGAGGAAUACCGGUGGCGAAGGCGGCCCCCUGGAUCGAUACUGACGCUGAGGUGCGAAAGCGUGGGGAGCAAACAGG